rnacentral:rRNA from 1 species
CAGCAGUAGCCACGGUAAUACGAAGGGUGCAAGCGUUACUCGGAAUUACUGGGCGUAAAGCGUGCGUAGGCGGUGAGUUAAGUCUGCUGUGAAAUCCCCGGGCUCGACCUGGGAAUGGCAGUGGAUACUGGCUCGCUAGAGUGUGUCAGAGGAUGGUGGAAUUCCCGGUGUAGCGGUGAAAUGCGUAGAGAUCGGGAGGAACAUCAGUGGCGAAGGCGGCCAUCUGGGACAACACUGACGCUGAGGCACGAAAGCGUGGGGAGCAAACAGGAUUAGAUACCCCCGUAGUCCCUGUCUCUUAUAC